GUCCCUGUAGCGCAAUGAAUAGCGCGUUAGACUUCUACUUCAAAAGGGGUGGUUUCGAAUCCCACCAGGGAUG